rnacentral:rRNA from 1 species
GAUGAACGCUGGCGGCGUGCCUAAUACAUGCAAGUCGAGCGAACGGACGAGAAGCUUGCUUCUCUGAUGUUAGCGGCGGACGGGUGAGUAACACGUGGAUAACCUACCUAUAAGACUGGGAUAACUUCGGGAAACCGUAGCUAAUACCGGAUAAUAUUUUGAACCGCAUGGUUCAAAAGUGAAAGACGGUCUUGCUGUCACUUAUAGAUGGAUCCGCGCUGCAUUAGCUAGUUGGUAAGGUAACGGCUUACCAAGGCAACGAUGCAUAGCCGACCUGAGAGGGUGAUCGGCCACACUGGAACUGAGACACGGUCCAGACUCCUACGGGAGGCAGCAGUAGGGAAUCUUCCGCAAUGGGCGAAAGCCUGACGGAGCAACGCCGCGUGAGUGAUGAAGGUCUUCGGAUCGUAAAACUCUGUUAUUAGGGAAGAACAUAUGUGUAAGUAACUGUGCACAUCUUGACGGUACCUAAUCAGAAAGCCACGGCUAACUAAGUG